CCUACGGUGUGCAGCAGUGGGGAAUAUUGCACAAUGGGGGGAACCCUGAUGCAGCAACGCCGCGUGGGUGCAGAAGUACUUCGGUAUGUACAGCCCUGUCAGCAGGGAAGAAAAUGACGGUACCUGACCAAGAAGCCCCGGCUAACUACGUGCCAGCAGCCGCGGUAAUACGUAGGGGGCAAGCGUUAUCCGGAUUUACUGGGUGUAAAGGGAGCGUAGACGGCAAGGCAAGUCUGGAGUGAAAGCCCGUGGCUCAACCACGGGACUGCUUUGGAAACUGUGUUGCUGGAGUGCAGGAGGGGUAAGCGGAAUGCCGAGGGGCGCGGUGAAAUGCGUAGAGAGUAGGAGGAACACCGGUGGCGAAGGCGGCUUACUGGACUGUAACUGACGUUGAGGCUCGAAGGCGUGGGGAGCAAACAGGAUUAGAGACCCUUGUAGUC
rnacentral:rRNA from 1 species